rnacentral:rRNA from 1 species
UAAUACGGAGGGUGCAAGCGUUAAUCGGAAUUACUGGGCGUAAAGCGUGCGUAGGCGGCCGUUUAAGUCAGAUGUGAAAGCCCCGGGCUUAACCUGGGAACUGCAUUUGAUACUGGAGGGCUAGAGUUUAAUAGAGGGGAGUGGAAUUUCCGGUGUAGCGGUGAAAUGCGUAGAGAUCGGAAGGAACACCAGUGGCGAAGGCGACUCCCUGGAUUAAAACUGACGCUGAGGUACGAAAGCGUGGGUAGCAAACAGG